rnacentral:rRNA from 1 species
ACGGGUGAGUAAUGUCUGGGAAACUGCCUGAUGAGGGGGAUAGCUACUGGAAACGGUAGCUAAUACCGCAUAACGUCGCAAGACCAAAGAGGGGGACCUUCGGGCCUCUUGCCAUCAGAUGUGCCCAGAUGGGAUUAGCUAGUAGGUGGGGUAACGGCUCACCUAGGCGACGAUCCCUAGCUGGUCUGAGAGGAUGACCAGCCACACUGGAACUGAGACACGGUCCAGACUCCUACGGGAGGCAGCAUG